UACAGAGGGUGCAAGCGUUAAUCGGAAUUACUGGGCGUAAAGGGUGCGUAGGUGGUUUGUUAAGUCAGAUGUGAAAUCCCUGGGCUCAACCUGGGAACUGCAUUUGAUACUGGCAGACUCGAGUCUGGUAGAGGGUAGUGGAAUUCCGCAUGUAGCGGUGAAAUGCGUAGAGAUGCGGAGGAACACCAGUGGCGAAGGCGGCUACCUGGACCAAAACUGACACUGAGGCACGAAAGCGUGGGGAUCAAACAGG
rnacentral:rRNA from 1 species